rnacentral:rRNA from 1 species
GGUCUGCAACCCGACCACACGAAGCUGGAAUCGCUAGUAAUCGCGAAUCAGAAUGUCGCGGUGAAUACGUUCCCGGGUCUUGUACACACCGCCCGUCCACACCAUGGGAGUCAGCAACGCCCGAAGUCAGUGACCUAACCGAAAGGAAGGAGCUGCCGAAGGCGGGGCCGGUAACUGGGGUGAAGUCGUAACAAGGUACC